UCGUUAACGAACGAGACCUCGCCGUUUCAAUAGUUCAGCAAACACUUCGGUGUUUGUAUGUGACUUCUUAAACGGACUAUCGGUGUGUAGCCGAUGGAAGUUCGAGGCAAUAACAGGUCUGUGAUGCCCUUAGAUGUUCUGGGCCGCACGCGCGCUACACUGACAAAUUCAUCGAGUUUACAACCUUGACUGACAGGUCUGGGUAAUCUUUUUAACAUUUGUCGUGCUGGGGAUAGAUUAUUGUAAUUAUUAAUCUUCAACGAGGAAUUCCUAGUAAACGUAGUUCAUCAAACUACAUUGAUUACGUCCCUGCCCUUUGUACACACCGCCCGUCGCUAAUACCGAUUGAAUGGCUG
rnacentral:rRNA from 1 species